GGGGGUCUAACUCAGUGGUAGAGCGCAUGCUUAGCAUGCAGGAGGUCCUGAGUUCAAUCCCCAGUACCUCCA
rnacentral:tRNA from 1 species